rnacentral:lncRNA from 1 species
GUGUCUUCUUCAAUUCCCAUGACAAGAGUACACCGGCGCAGCUCUUCUAGCAGGAAAAGCAAUACAAGUUUUCGUCAUCUCGAGGACGCUCAAAUAGAUCCUAGCCCUCCACCUCCGUUGAGAAUUGUACAAGUUUGGUACAAUGUUCGAGUUGGCUGACAACUUAUAGGAGGAUUUGAAUUUCGAAUUUCAAAUCUCUCCAAAUCCAUCCCGUUUUCCCUUCCAUUUUUGUCUAAUCUUUCAUCCAUAAAUAGCAUCUUUUUCUACAUUUUUUUGAUUUGGGAAAAAAUAGGGCUAGAAAAAUAGAAAAAGGUUGGAGGGAGUAGAAAGAGAACGCAGGAAGAGUUACAGAGAAUCAACAGGCAAAAGCGAGGUAGGAUUUACAGCGACAACGAUCAUAAAGUUAAAGUUUCUGGUCUCCUGUUUGGCAUUCUAAUUUCUGUAGAUCGUUGGAAGUGGGGUUGCUCUCUUAAGCUCUUCGUCGUCCUGAGUUUGCUGCUCCAAAAUAGGUGGAUGACACCAGAUGAAACAGAUCAGAGAGAGAGUACCAGCUCCAAUUGCAGAACCAACAAUGUGAGGGUGAGGAAGAGGCAAAGGCAUAUGGAAAGAAACACCCGCUAGAGGUGGAGACCAGCAAUCCCUCCCCUCCCUUACACAGGUUCAUAUUGAAAAAUGGUGUGGAGGUAGAGUUCAAGAAGGGUAUUGAACCCGAUCGAGAUGGCGACUCAAAUUAGGGUUUAUGCCUUCCCCCUAUGACUUGUGAGGUUAUUCGGCAAGUCGACAAGUGUUAACCUUCCUGAGUGGGAUAGCGUUUACUGGAGCCACUCCUACUCAAGCCCCAGACACUUAUUCUGCUGCUAGUAUCGCUCCAAGAAUGGAUGAAGCUUCGGGUAUUGAUGUGUUCUUUCAUUCAAUACUAGGAGACUAACCAUGACUUAUUAACUAUGUUUUUGAAGUUGAAACCUUCAUAGUUUCAUGGUAUUGAAAAUGAGAGCUUUUGAACCGUUACGAGAGAUUGCAUAAGGUGGAUAUUGUACAACAACAUAUAUCUAAAUGGUAGAGUAUGCGUCUAAUCUUAAAAAUAAUGUUAUUUUUCAUUUUUAUUCGUUAAGAUUUUUUUUUUUGUUCAUCUGCUUAAUAUCAUUUCUGUUGUUUUGACAACUAAAUUAUCUUCUAAAGAUGAAGAUGUCAUUGACGAAUAUUUGCAUGGAAUGUUGUAGUGGGACAAGAAGAUAUAUAGUCAUUAUAUGUUGAUGGUAUAUAGCUAAUGGGUAAUUUUCUCUUUAGUUUUGAGAUAUGAUACAAGUAUUUUCUUAGAUUAUGACCAAAAUUUUAGAAAUACACCUAAACUUAACUAGAGUCCUAUCCCCCUCUCCUCCUCCAAACUCAUUUAUUUCAUAUUUUUUUGCUAGCAUGAUACUUUUAAC